rnacentral:misc_RNA from 1 species
UCUCCGUAGGUGAACCUGCGGAGGGAUCAUUACUGAGUGAGGGUCUCCGGGCCCUACCUCCAACCCUUUUGUGAACCACCUCGUUGCUUCGUGGGCGACCCUGCCGUUCGCGGCGUGGGGCCCCCGGAGCCCAUCAAACCCUGCGUAACUAAGUCGUCGGAGUUUAAACAAAUUAAACAAAACAUUCAACAACGGAUCUCUUGGUUCGGGCAUCGAUGAAGAACGCCAGC